rnacentral:rRNA from 1 species
UACGAAGGGGGCUAGCGUUGCUCGGAAUCACUGGGCGUAAAGGGUGCGUAGGCGGGUCUUUAAGUCAGGGGUGAAAUCCUGGAGCUCAACUCCAGAACUGCCUUUGAUACUGAAGAUCUUGAGGUCGGGAGAGUGAGUGGAACUGCGAGUGUAGAGGUGAAAUUCGUAGAUAUUCGCAAGAACACCAGUGGCGAAGGCGGCUCACUGGCU